CUGAGAAUGGGAUUCAAGUCCUCUGUCUUACUAUAAUCUAAAUUCUUGGAUCCAUGCGAUCCUCUCUGCGGUCUACUACGGCAUAAUUACCCGAUCCUGAACUCGUCAAGUAACAACAUUCCCUACCCUAAGGAAGACAAGAAACAAAGGAUCCUCCUCUUUGCAUGUCGAAACUGUGAUCACCAGGAGAUUGCUGAUAAUAAUCGUGUUUAUAGAAAUGAGGUACACCACUCUGUUUCAGAAUAUACACAGAUUUUAGAGGAUGUGGCCUCAGAUCCAACUCUACCUCGUACUAAAUCCGUUCGUUGCUGUGCAUGUGGCCAUGGAGAAGCUGUCUUUUUACAGGCAACUUCUAGAGAAGAAGGUAUGACACUGUUUUAUGUCUGCUGCAAUCCAAACUGCGGGAAUCGUUGGAAAGACUAACAUCAUAUCUUCACAUGAAUUCAGAGCUAUCUGCUAGCGAAUUCAAAGCUCUCAACGUUGAUGUAUAUCUCUCUUAUAGUUUUUGACAACUCAAAAGAAAGCCUCUUGCUUGAGUUCGUUAUAUGCAGUAUAUGAAAGCUAAUCUCUCCAUGUAGGAUCAUAGUUAUUAAAGGCGGCUCAAGGCGCACUAAGGUGCGAAAGGGUUCUAGAGCAUAGGCGUAAGGUGAAGGCGCAACCCUGAGUGAGAUGAG
rnacentral:misc_RNA from 1 species